AUACGGAGGAUCCGAGCGUUAUCCGGAUUUAUUGGGUUUAAAGGGUGCGCAGGCGGCCAUUUAAGUCAGCGGUUAAAUCGUGGGGCUCAACCCCAUUCUGCCGUUGAUACUGGGUGGCUUGAUUGCGGUCGAGGUUGGCGGAAUUCGUUGUGUAGCGGGGAAAUGUAUAGAUAUGACGAAGAACACCGAUUGCGUAGGCAGCUGACCAGACCGCAAAUGACGCUCAUGCACGAAAGUGCGGGGAUCGAACAGGAUUAGAUACCCUGGUAGUCCGCACAGUAAACGAUGAAUACUUGUUUUCGGCGAUAUAAUGUCGGAGGCAAAGCGAAAGCGAUAAGUAUUCCACCUGGGGAGUACGCCGGCAACGGUGAAACUAAAAGGAAUUGACGGG
rnacentral:rRNA from 1 species